rnacentral:rRNA from 1 species
UACGAAGGGGGCUAGCGUUGCUCGGAAUCACUGGGCGUAAAGCGCACGUAGGCGGCUUUCUAAGUCAGGGGUGAAAUCCUGGAGCUCAACUCCAGAACUGCCUUUGAUACUGAAGAUCUUGAGUUCGGGAGAGGUGAGUGGAACUGCGAGUGUAGAGGUGAAAAUUCGUAGAUAUUCGCAAGAACACCAGUGGCGAAGGCGGCUCACUGGCCCGAUACUGACGCUGAGGCACGAAAGCGUGGGGAGCAAACAGGGA